UGAGGAAUAUUGGUCAAUGGGCGGGAGCCUGAACCAGCCAAGCCGCGUGAGGGAAGAAGGUACAGCGUAUCGUAAACCUCUUUUGUCAGGGAACAAAGGCGGGGACUAGUCCCCCGGAUGAGGGUACCUGAAGAAAAAGCAUCGGCUAACUCCGUGCC
rnacentral:rRNA from 1 species